rnacentral:rRNA from 1 species
GACGAACGCUGGCGGCGUGCUUAACACAUGCAAGUCGAACGGAAAGGCCCUGCUUUUGUGGGGUGCUCGAGUGGCGAACGGGUGAGUAACACGUGAGUAACCUGCCCUUGACUUUGGGAUAACUUCAGGAAACUGGGGCUAAUACCGGAUAGGAGCUCCUGCUGCAUGGUGGGGGUUGGAAAGUUUCGGCGGUUGGGGAUGGACUCGCGGCUUAUCAGCUUGUUGGUGGGGUAGUGGCUUACCAAGGCUUUGACGGGUAGCCGGCCUGAGAGGGUGACCGGCCACAUGGGGACUGCGGGACGGCCCAGACUCCUACGGGAGGCAGCAGUGGGGAAUAUUGCACAAUGGGCGGGAGCCUGAUGCAGCAACGCCGCGUGCGGGAUGACGGCCUUCGGGUUGUAAACCGCUUUCGCCUGUGACGAAGCGUGAGUGACGGUAAUGGGUAAAGAAGCACCGGCUAACUACGUG